UCUGGCAGCUAUAGCUAGGGGGAAACACCUCUUACCAUUCCGAACAGAGAAGUUAAGCCCCUACGCGCCGAUGGUACUGCGUGGGCAACUGCGUGGGAGAGUAGGUCGUUGCCAGGA
rnacentral:rRNA from 1 species